UACGUAGGGUGCAAGCGUUGUCCGGAAUUAUUGGGCGUAAAGAGCUCGUAGGCGGUCUGUCACGUCGGACGUGAAAAUCCAGGGCUCAACCCUGGACCUGCGUUCGAUACGGGCAGACUAGAGUUCGGUAGGGGAGACUGGAAUUCCUGGUGUAGCGGUGAAAUGCGCCAGAUAUCAGGAGGAACACCUGUGGCGAAAGCGGCUCACUGGACCACAACUGACGCUGAGGCGCGAAAGCUAGGGGAGCAAACAGG
rnacentral:rRNA from 1 species